rnacentral:sRNA from 1 species
GACCGCCCGUGUGUCGGGCGUGUUUCCGACACGUUGAUUUCUGACGGCAUCGUCGUGAAACAACGUCACACCUCUUGCCCUCCCGCGUGCGUUCCAGCAGAGUCGUCGCCAGACGGCGACUGCGUCGUUCGCACCAGCAGCACCAGGGAGCAAGAGAUCAUGGCCAACGGAACCGUGAAGUGGUUCAACGCCGAGAAGGGCUUCGGCUUCAUCACCGUCGAUGGAGGGGGCCAGGACGUGUUCGUGCACUACUCGGCGAUCGACAUGUCGGGCUACAAGGUCCUCGAGGAGGGGCAGGCGGUCACGUUCGACGUCGGCACCGGCUCGAAGGGGCCGCAGGCCGAGUCCGUCCGACCCGCCUGACGUCCCGGAACCACUGCGAGCGCGCCGUCCCCUCGGGGGCGGCGCGUUCG